ensembl:lncRNA
GCACUGUGGCAGGGUGACCUGGCAGGUGAUUUCCUGGUAGGGUGAUGGUGCCUCUACUUUCUCCCACAGACCCUGCCCCGGAUCUGCAGUGCGGGAGAAGGGCAGGCGUUUGCCUCUGCUCUGCAGCAGCUCUACACUGCAGUGACACAGCAGGAGGUCAAGCAGGCUCGGAAGCCGCAUUGCUCUGGUGAGGAGCUCCUUGGCUGUGGCGUGGGGAGCAUGUGAUGCAGCUGUCCCCUCGACUGCUGAGCCCUAUAUCCAGGGGUAAGGGAAGUGUGGCCCUGGGUGCAGCUCAUCCCAUGCAACAAUCUCUCCCUUUGCUUUCUCACCGUGGGCUAGGCUCCCAAUCCAAGCAUAAUUCCUGGAGUGGCUUUGGGUAAUACCCCAUGAUCCCUUAUCUCAAUCCCAAAUUGCAUCUUUUUGUGGUUCCAGAGGAUGAUGUGGAUACAGCACCCACUGCAGAAACCACAAAGCACCCACCUUCACCUGCUGCAUCUCAGGAGGAUGAAACGACAUCUUCCAGUGAGAGAAACUCGCCAGCCUCCUCCCCAGCUCAGAAACCCCGGCUGUCUGCAGCCAAGGCCAAGCCAAAGAAGGCAAAAGGGCUCUUCAGCUGAAAGAUUGCUGCCAACCCUACUGAGGUCUCUGCUUCCCCCAGCAUCCAAGAGAGUUAGUGCAGAGAACCCAUGCACCAUCUGCCUCUUCUCUGCAUCUCCUCAUAGACCCUGCCCAGGUCAUGGUCCCCUCUCAAGAUGUCUCCAGUUGGGGAGAUGGAGCUCCUUUCUUCAACAGUAUUUCACAAAACAGCUUUUCUAUCUCUUCCCUGGUGCAGAGUUUGCCCAGGCUUCCUCUCAUGGCAGAACCACUGCUGGACCUGAGAGAAGUUGGAGGGAUGUUGCCAGUGGGUGUGGGACAGCUGGGCCUCUGGCAGAGCUGUGGGGUUUGGCUGCUUUUGAGUGGGUUUUCAAUAAAGGGCUGUGUAUGGGUGAGAUUCCCUCUCUUGCUCUGUCCCACCAGGCCUGUAGUGUCUAGGAAGAGAUGUAGCCUUUGGCUGCUGAGUCCUCCUCAGGCCAGUCCUGAUGUCCCAGGGGCGUGCAGUGACUCUGGACAGUGAGGUGACAGCAGCUCAUUGCUGUGGCACAGCACCCAGCUCCCAGCCAUUCUGUGCCUCACCCUGAGCAGCAGCAUGUGUUUUGGGGUGUGCACCAGAGGAUGCUCAGAUCAUGGGGACACAGUAUGCUCAGGGGGCUGGAGCCCAUGUUCUUGUCCCAUACCAGGAUACACAGCCUGUGUGCUGGUGCCUGCAGGGCUUUUGCAGGCUGGAAAAAGCCCUGGGUAGGCUGCAGGACACCCUACAUUUGCAGGCACCUCCACCAUAGUUACUGGGCAGGUGAUACAUGAUCAUGCUUUGGCCUCCAAGGAGCAGGAGACAGCCAAAACACUAACACACUGAAUGCUGCCAGGCGUGGGAGCAGCUCUGGAGCAGGUUACAGAUGCUCCCUGGCCACCAAACACCACAUCCAUCCUUUCACACUCCAUCCAUCCAUCCAUCCAUCCAUCCAUCCAUCCAUCCAUCCAUCCAUCCAUCUACUCCUGC